rnacentral:tRNA from 1 species
ACCCGGGUGGCUCAGUCGGUUGAGCAUCUGACUUUGGCUCAGGUCAUGAUCUCAUGGUUCCUGGGUU